rnacentral:tRNA from 1 species
GGCUUCAUAGCUCAGUCGGUAGAGCAAAGGACUGAAAAUCCUUGUGUCGCUGGUUCGAUUCCCGCUGGAGCCACCA